AAAUUAACCCUUUACUCACCUGUAAACCAGCACCAAGACAGCAUCUUCCCUGUAUCCUGUUUAUCCUGAUAACGUCCUCAGGCUUGUCCAAACAAAUGUUUCUCAUAUAGAAGAAUUAUGCAUGUAAUGCACAUUACACCAAUCAAAUGCUUCUUGUAGAACCGAACAGCAAGAACUGAGUAAAACUCAAUUCUGGACAAAGUUUAAUGGGGUAAAAAGUAAAAUGAAAGACAGCAAGACCAAAUUCAAAGAGACAGUCUAGGCACCAUAAGCACUACUGCAUUAUUUAGU